AGUGAACGCUGGCGGCAUGGUUAAGACAUGCAAGUCGAACGAAAAGCAGAUCUUCGGAUUUGUGGAAAGUGGCGAACGGGUGCGUAACACGUGAGCAACCUGCCCUAAAGUUUGGAAUAGCCUGUCGAAAGAUGGAUUAAUGCCGAAUGUGGCUUUUCUUCGCAUGAAGAAAUAGCUAAAGCUUGUAAUGGCGCUUUAGGAUGGGCUCGCGGCCUAUCAGCUUGUUGGUAAGGUAAUGGCUUACCAAGGCUAAGACGGGUAGCUGGUCUGAGAGGAUGAUCAGCCACACCGGGACUGAGACACGGCCCGGACACCUACGGGUGGCAGCAGUUUCGAAUCAUUCACAAUGGGCGAAAGCCUGAUGAUGCAAUGCCGCGUGGAGGAUGAAGGCCUUAGGGUCGUAAACUCCUGUCAUUGGGGAGCAACAAGUAAGUUUAUAGCUUACCAUGAGUUAACCCAAAGAGGAAGAGGUGGCUAACUCCGUG
rnacentral:rRNA from 1 species